AAACUUCGGGAGAAGGUGCGCCCUUUGGUGUGGUCACGUGCGUGACUGAGCAUCGAAGGGUCGCAGUAACCUGGCCGCUGCGACUGUUUAUCAAAAACACAGCACUCUGCAAACACGAAAGUGGACGUAUAGGGUGUGACGCCUGCCCGGUGCUGGAAGGUUAAUUGAUGGGGUCAGCCGCAAGGCGAAGCUCUUGAUCGAAGCCCCAGUAAACGGCGGCCGUAACUAUAACGGUCCUAAGGUAGCGAAAUUCCUUGUCGGGUAAGUUCCGACCUGCACGAAUGGCGUAACGACAGCGGCGCUGUCUCCACCCGAGACUCAGUGAAAUUGAAAUCGCUGUGAAGAUGCAGCGUUCCCGCGGCAAGACGGAAAGACCCCGUGAACCUUUACUAUAGCUUUACACUGAACGUUGAGUUCUUCUGUGUAGGAUAGGUGGGAGGCUAUGAAACCAGGACGCUAGUUCUGGUGGAGCCAUCCUUGAAAUACCACCCUGAAGUGCUUGACGUUCUAACCUAGGCCCGUAAUCCGGGUCAGGGACCGUGUAUGGUGGGUAGUUUGACUGGGGCGGUCUCCUCCCAAAGAGUAACGGAGGAGCACGAAGGUACGCUCAGCGCGGUCGGACAUCGCGCACUGUGUGCAAAGGCAUAAGCGUGCUUGACUGCGAGAUCGACGGAUCAAGCAGGUACGAAAGUAGGUCUUAGUGAUCCGGUGGUUCUGUAUGGAAGGGCCAUCGCUCAACGGAUAAAAGGUACCCCGGGGAUAACAGGCUGAUACCGCCCAAGAGUUCAUAUCGACGGCGGUGUUUGGCACCUCGAUGUCGGCUCAUCACAUCCUGGGGCUGUAGCCGGUCCCAAGGGUAUGGCUGUUCGCCAUUUAAAGUGGUACGCGAGCUGGGUUCAGAACGUCGUGAGACAGUUCGGUCCCUAUCUGUCGUGGGCGUUGGAGAUUUGAGGGGGGCUGCUCCUAGUACGAGAGGACCGGAGUGGACGUUCCGCUGGUGUUCGGGUUGUCAUGCCCAUGGCAUUGCCCGGUAGCUACGAACGGAAGUGAUAACCGCUGAAAGCAUCUAAGCGGGAAGCACGCCCCAAGAUGAGAUCUCCCGAGAGCUUGACUCUCCUAAAGGCACCAUCAAGACUAGGUGGUUGAUAGGUCAGGUGUGGAAGCGCAGCAAUGCGUUGAGCUAACUGAUACUAAUGAGCCGUGAGGCUUGACCA
rnacentral:rRNA from 1 species